rnacentral:rRNA from 1 species
GGCGAUCAGAUACCGCCCUAGUUCUGACCGUAAACGAUGCCAACUAGCGAUCCGCCGGCGGCUUCUCGGCCCUGGUGGGGAGCUUCCCGGAAACGAAAGUCUUCCGGUUCCGGGGGAAGUAUGGUUGCAAAGCUGAAACUUAAAGGAAUUGACGGAAGGGCACCACCAGGAGUGGAGCCUGCGGCUUAAUUUGACUCAACACGGGAAAACUCACCCGGCCCGGACACCGUGAGGAUUGACAGAUUGAUAGCUUUUUCAUGAUUCGGGGGUUGGUGGUGCAUGGCCGUUCUUAGUUCGUGGAUCGAUUUGUCUGGUUUAUUCCGAUAACGAGCGAGACUCCAGCCUACUAACUAGUGCGGGCAUUGCCUCUGUGCUUGUCACUUCUUAGAGGGAUUGGCUGCGUCUAGCGGCACGAAACGGAGCAAUAACAGGUCUGUGAUGCCCUUAGAUGUCCGGGGCUGCACGCGCGCUACACUGGCAAAGGCAGCGUGCUUGUCCGCCUCCGAAAGGAGCCGGUAAACCCUUGAAAAUUUGCCGUGAUUGGGAUCGGAAAUUGCAAUUAUUUUCCGUGAACGAGGAAUUUCUAGUAAGUGCGAGUCAUCAUCUCGCGUUGAUUACGUCCCUGCCCUUUGUA